rnacentral:misc_RNA from 1 species
UCUCCGUUGGUGAACCAGCGGAGGGAUCAUUACCGAGUUUACAACUCCCAAACCCAAUGUGAACUAUACCUGUCUACCGUUGCUUCGGCGGGUUCGCCCGCCAAGGGACCGACAAAUAAACUCUUGUAUUUCUAUCUUUAGCAUGUCUGAGUGGAAUCAUAAACAAAUGAAUCAAAACUUUCAACAACGGAUCUCUUGGUUCUG